rnacentral:lncRNA from 1 species
UAGCGUCUCCCUUCCGCCCCAACACUCAAUCCCACUUUCCACUUUAAAGUCCUUCCACAGAUAUUUUAUGUGUGUUUUAUAAACAUCUAAAUAAAUGGUAGUAAUGGUAGCAUGUCAUAGAUAUGCCAUUCUACACCUGAUUUUUUCAGUUAGCAACAUAUCUUGGAGAUUUUUUUUUUUUAAUAUCACUUCAGAAUGAUCCACACUGUGUUCCAAUCACUUUUAUGAUCAUCUCUUAAAGUUGGCAUCGUUUACUGCUUUAUGGUAAAUAGACCCAGCACCUUGGCCAACAGUGAGAACAACCCCAGCCAAUGUGGAUGCUAACUGAGGACCAGCCAUGUUCCAGGCACAGCGCUAAGCAACUUCUCUGCUCUGUCUGGUGCAAACACCACUAACUCCCAAAUUAUAUCACCCCCAUUUUACAGAUGAGAAACCCGUGCCAGGCUUAGAACCAAAGCAAUGUGUUUCCAGUGCCCAAGAUGGUAAGUACUCUGCAAAGUCCAGAAGCGACAUGCCAUUGCAAGGGUAGCCACUGCCCUCAGGAGAUCAGAGAUUUGGACACAGACCCAGUAAUUCUGUUUCUUGUCUUUUACCCAGGGGCUAAAUACUCCCAGGAGAUACAUUAUGCUGACCCCGUGUUCCAGCAAGUGGCACCAAGAGAUCAGGAAAACAGUAAUAAUUCUAAAGAUGGAUACGUCUAUUCUGAACUUGUCCUCUGAGAUUUAAAGAUGUAGGCUACAUCUCAGGGUACAUACAAUCCUGUCAUCAGACAAGAGUUUUGUUAGGUGGGAUCCUAAGUUUUUACAUGCUUUUGCCAUUUUUUGGCAAGGACCAUUUCCCCCAUUUCCACACCACUGAAUAAAGAAUAAUUUUUUGACCA